AGCAGCCGCGGUAAUUCCAGCUCCAAUAGCGUAUAUUAAAGUUGUUGCAGUUAAAAAGCUCGUAGUUGAAUUUCGGGAUCAUCAGGUUGGUCGUGCCUCUGGUAUGUACUGAUUUCGAUGGUUCCUCCUUCUUGAAGAGCCGUAAUGUCAUUAAUUUGGUGUUGCGGGGAAUCAGGACUGUUACUUUGAAAAAUUAGAGUGUUUAAAGCAGGCAAUCGCUUGAAUACAUUAGCAUGGAAUAAUGAAAUAGGACGUUCGAUCCUAUUUUGUUGGUUUCUAGGAUUGACGUAAUGAUUAAUAGGGAUAGUUGGGGGCAUUAGUAUUCAAUUGUCAGAGGUGAAAUUCUUGGAUUUAUUGAAGACUAACUACUGCGAAAGCAUUUGCC
rnacentral:rRNA from 1 species